rnacentral:rRNA from 1 species
GAUGAACGCUGGCGGCGUGCCUAAUACAUGCAAGUCGAGCGAACGGACGAGAAGCUUGUUUCUCUGAUGUUAGCGGCGGACGGGUGAGUAACACGUGGAUAACCUACCUAUAAGACUGGGAUAACUUCGGGAAACCGUAGCUAAUACCGGAUAAUAUUUUGAACCGCAUGGUUCAAAAGUGAAAGACGGUCUUGCUGUCACUUAUAGAUGGAUCCGCGCUGCAUUAGCUAGUUGGUAAGGUAACGGCUUACCAAGGCAACGAUGCAUAGCCGACCUGAGAGGGUGAUCGGCCACACUGGAACUGAGACACGGUCCAGACUCCUACGGGAGGCAGCAGUAGGGAAUCUUCCGCAAUGGGCGAAAGCCUGACGGAGCAACGCCGCGUGAGUGAUGAAGGUCUUCGGAUCGUAAAACUCUGUUAUUAGGGAAGAACAUAUGUGUAAGUAACUGUGCACAUCUUGACGGUACCUAAUCAGAAAGCCACGGCUAACUACGUG